UACGAAGGGGGCUAGCGUUGCUCGGAAUCACUGGGCGUAAAGCGCACGUAGGCGGCUUUCUAAGUCAGGGGUGAAAUCCUGGAGCUCAACUCCAGAACUGCCUUUGAUACUGGAAGAUCUUGAGUUCGGGAGAGGUGAGUGGAACUCGCGAGUGAGGUGGUAAAUUCGUAGAUAUUAGGAGGAACACCGGUGGCGAAGGCGCCGCUCUGGGCCGAAACUGACGCGUGAGGAGCGAAAGCGUGGGUAGCAAACAGGGA
rnacentral:rRNA from 1 species